GGUGAAAUAGCUCAGUUGUGAAAGCUUCAGACUGAGAAUCUAAAUGUCCUUGGUUCAAACCCAUGUGUCCCCA